UACGUAGGGAGCAAGCGUUUGUCCGGAAUCAUUGGGCGUAAAGCGCGCGUAGGCGGCCUCAUAAGUCCGUUGUGAAAGUCAAAGGCUCAACCUUUGAAAGCCGAUGGAUACUGUGAGGCUAGAGUCCGGAAGAGGCGAGUGGAAUUCCUGGUGUAGCGGUGGAAUGCGCAAAUAUCAGGAGGAACACCAAUAGCGAAGGCAGCUCGCUGGGACGGUACUGACGCUGAGACGCGAAAGCGUGGGGAGCAAACAGG
rnacentral:rRNA from 1 species